UACGUAGGUGGCAAGCGUUACUCGGAAUCACUAGGCGUAAAGCGCAGGUAGGCGGUUUGGUAAGUCUGUUGUGAAAGCUCCCGGCUCAACUGGGAGAGGCCAACGGAAACUACCAAGCUAGAGUGUGGUAGAGGAAACUGGAAUUCCUGGUGUAGCGGUGAAAUGCGUAGAUAUCAGGAGGAACACCUAUGGCGAAAGCAGGUUUCUGGGCCAUCACUGACGCUGAGCUGCGAAAGCUAGGGGAGCAAACAGG
rnacentral:rRNA from 1 species